rnacentral:rRNA from 1 species
AUGGACAUUAUGCCUUUCCUUCCCGGUUGCAAGCUCUGCAUCUUCAACAACCCACCAUCUCUCUUCAUGAGUCUUAGCCGCAAGCGCUUUGCAAUAUCUUCAAGCUUUGUGAUGAUUGUUGCAGCUGUGUUGGUAGAUGUGAAUUUUGACUCUUUCUUGGACUUAUCCUCAAACAUGCCAGAGAGAUCAAACCCAGAAGAAAGAGAAAUGAUGUCAAAAGCAUUCAAGUUAGUGAGCUCUGUUGCUUCUUGUAUUGUCUCGGUUGUACAGCUACUGAAUGGAUCACAAGUCGGAUCCAUGUCAACAGCAACAAUGUCCUCCGUUGGUGUGUUAUAG